GAUGAACGCUGGCGGCGUGCCUAAUACAUGCAAGUCGAGCGAACGGACGAGAAGCUUGCUUCUCUGAUGUUAGCGGCGGACGGGUGAGUAACACGUGGAUAACCUACCUAUAAGACUGGGAUAACUUCGGGAAACCGGAGCUAAUACCGGAUAAUAUUUUGAACCGCAUGGUUCAAAAGUGAAAGACGGUCUUGCUGUCACUUAUAGAUGGAUCCGCGCUGCAUUAGCUAGUUGGUAAGGUAACGGCUUACCAAGGCAACGAUGCCUAGCCGACCUGAGAGGGGGAUCGGCCACACUUGAACUGAGACACGGUCCCGACCCCUACGGGAGGCAGCAGUAGGGAAUCUUCCGCAAUGGGCGAAAGCCUGACGGAGCAACGCCGCGUGAGUGAUGAAGGUCUUCGGAUCGUAAAACCCUGUUAUUAGGGAAGAACAAAUGUGUAAGUAACUGUGCACAUCUUGACGGUACCUAAUCAGAAAGCCACGGCUAACUACGUG
rnacentral:rRNA from 1 species